rnacentral:rRNA from 1 species
UGCCAGCCGCCGCGGUAAUACGGAAGGUCCUAGCGUUGUUCGGAAUUACUGGGCGUAAAGCGCAUGUAGGCGGAACAGAAAGUUAGAAGUGAAAUCCCUGGGCUCAACCUAGGAAUUGCUUUUAAGACUUCUGUUCUGGAAUUAAGGAGAGGAAAAUGGAAUAUCCAGUGUAGAGGUGAAAUUCGUAGAUAUUGGAUGGAACACCAGUGGCGAAGGCGGCUUACUGGCUCGAUACUGACGCUGAGGUGCGAAAGUGUGGGGAGCGAACAGGAUUAGAUA